rnacentral:rRNA from 1 species
CCUACGGGAGGCAGCAGUGAGGAAUAUUGGACAAUGGGCGCAAGCCUGAUCCAGCCAUGCCGCGUGCAGGAAGAAGCAUCUAUGGUGUGUAAACUGCUUUUGUACGGGAAGAAACACUGCUACGUGUAGCAGCUUGACGGUACCGUAAGAAUAAGGAUCGGCUAACUCCGUGCCAGCAGCCGCGGUAAUACGGAGGAUCCAAGCGUUAUCCGGAAUCAUUGGGUUUAAAGGGUCCGUAGGCGGUUUGGUAAGUCAGUGGUGAAAGCCCAUCGCUUAACGAUGGAACGGCCAUUGAUACUGCCAGACUUGAAUUACUAGGAAGUAACUAGAAUAUGUAGUGUAGCGGUGAAAUGCUUAGAUAUUACAUGGAAUACCAAUUGCGAAGGCAGGUUACUACUAGUUUAUUGACGCUGAUGGACGAAAGCGUGGGGAGCGAACAGGAUUAGAUACCCUGGUAGUCCCGACGACCGUAACGAUAGAUACUAGCUGUUCGGGUUACCGUAGUAGUGGUGUAGAGAAGUAGAGUAAGUAGUACCACCGUACGGGAGGUACGGUUCGUCGAGAAGUUAGUAAACGUUACAAAUAAGAAGUUAGACGGCGUUGAGACGUUAGCCGACGGACG